rnacentral:rRNA from 1 species
UACAGAGGUCCCAAGCGUUGUUCGGAUUCAUUGGGCGUAAAGGGUGCGUAGGCGGUCGUGCAAGUCGGAUGUGAAAUCUCAGGGCUCAACCCUGAAACUGCAUUCGAUACUGCGCGGCUAGAGUGCUGGAGGGGAGACUGGAAUUUACGGUGUAGCAGUGAAAUGCGUAGAUAUCGUAAGGAAGACCAGUGGCGAAGGCGGCUACCUGGACAAUUGCUGACGCUCAGGCACGAAAGCGUGGGGAGCAAAAGGG